UGUGCCAGCAGCCGCGGUAAUUCCAGCUCCAAUAGCGUAUAUUAAAGUUGUUGCGGUAAAAAAGCUCGUAGUUGGAUUUCUGUUGAGGACGACCGGUCCGUACCAUGUACGCGCAUCUGGUUCGGCCUCGGCAUCCUCUCGAUAGACGUUUCUGCGCUUGAUUGCGUGGUGCGGAUUUCGGGACUUUUACUUUGAGGAAAUUGGAGUGUUCACGGCAGGCUAUCGCCAGAACAUAUUAGCAUGGAAUAAUACUAUAGGAUCUCGGUUCUAUUUUGUUGGUUUCUAGACCCGGGGUAAUGAUAAAUAGGGACAAUUGGGGGCAUUUGUAUCAACACGUCAGAGGUGGAAUUCUUGGAUUGUGUUGCGACAAACUACUGCGAAAGCAUUUGCCAAGGAUGUUUUCAUUGAUCAAGAACGAAAGUAAGGGGAUCGAAGACGAUUAGAUACCGUCGUAGUCUUUACCAUAAACUAUGCCGACUAGAGAUGGGGCCUCGUUCACUUACGACUGGCUCCGCAUCUUAUGAGAUAUCAAAGUCUUUGGGUUCCGGGGGGAGUAUGGUCGCAAGUCUGAAACUUAAAGGAAUUGACGGAAGGGCACCACCAGGAGUGGAGCCUGCGGCUUAAUUUGACUCAACACGGGGAAACUCACCAGGUCCGGACAUAAUAAGGAUUGACAGAUUGAUAGCUCUUUCUUGAUUUUAUGGGUGGUGGUGCAUGGCCGUUCUUAGUUCGUGGAGUGAUUUGUCUGCUUAAUUGCGUUAACGAACGAGACCUUAACCUGCUAAAUAGGAGCGCAUAUCUCCGGAUAAGCGCCUUUCUUCUUAGAGGGACUGCAUGCGUUUCAGUAUGCGGAAGUUUGGGGCUAAAACAGGUCUGUGAU
rnacentral:rRNA from 1 species